rnacentral:lncRNA from 1 species
CGCGGCCCGGAGUCCCCAUUUUCCAAGUAGGUUCUGAUUUCCCGAGAGAUGGCAAAGGCCCUGGCAGGAAGUUUACACGGCCCAACGUAAACACGUUCUGGGGGAUUCUUUAAUAAUAAUAAUAGAGAAUUCCGCGUGCGCGGGGGGAGUUGGCCUAAUGCCCCUGUGGGCUCGGCCUGCCGCCGCCGCGGGGCCUCCGACUGCGCACCCGGCCAGGUUCCGGAGAGCGGGCAGGGAGCGCGGGCCGAGGCUGCCCUCGCGCCCCUGGCUGCCGGCCUAAGGGGCUCGCUCGCACGCACGCCUCCGCUCGUCACCCUCGCCUUGCCGGCGUGCGGACAGGGCCUGCGGCGGUGGGAAAUCUGGGAAAUCGGAGCGCAGCGCAGGACCGCGCGGGAGGCCGGCGGGACGCAGCGCGCACAGACCCCGGGCUGCCCCGACAAAGCACCGUACAUGGCCUGGGCGGCUUAUUCCCGACAGACGUGGAUUUCCUGUUCCAAGGCUGGGCCCAAGCUGGGGUGCACCCGGCGGCCUGUGCUCGCUCCCCACUGCCAUCUCCUCACAUGGUGACACCGGGGUGACCGUGGUGACCGAGCCACUCUGCCCAGAGCGGGGCCAUCCCUGCACACAGACCUGACAUCGUGCAGAAGCCGGAGGGGCUGCUGACCCUCGCCACUAACUGCUCUUCUCAGAAGUGUGUUUCUUGAACUAAUUUCAGUUUCUAAGGAGGAAUUUUAGGGCAGGAAAAAAUGGAGUGGAAAGUACAGAGCUCCUUCCCCGGAUUUCCAUCUUAGAGUUACAAUGGAGCCACAUGGACGCGUUGUUAUUGACUCUAGUCCUGGACCCCUCCCGCUUCCUGUUGGACCUGAGGGGCCGAUGUAUCAGGACAUGUACCCUCCCCAACCAGCCAGAGCAGCUAGAAAUGGAAGCUCUUAAACCGGUAGUUCUGUAAACAAAUGCUUUUUACACAGACCCCAAGCCCAGAUGUAUUGGCUCAGGAUGCAAACAGUGCCCCCUCCUUACCGGUGCCUUGGAUUCUUAGGGUCCUUUUCCUGCCCUGCCCCGACCCAUGUUCCACCCACCACCCCUUCUUGCCUGACCAAUGGCCACUCGUCUUGGCCCAGUUUUGCUUUUAUCCCCUCCCUGCCCAGUGGCUGGAGUCCCUACUGCUCGUGCCCGGGCUCCUUUCACUGAGGGAUACAUUUUUCUUCAGGUCUUUACCUGACUUGGGAGCUCAGUUCUUUUUAGUGCUAAAUAAUAUUCCAAGGUCCCAUCGAGGCCAGUUUAUUUUCUUCCCGUUCACCUACCAGGGGACACCUCGCUGGCCUUCAGUUUUGGCAGUCAUGAAUAAAGCUGCUUUGAGCUUCCACGUGUAGCUUUUCCUUUGUCUAGACCUAAGCUUUCAACUCAUUUGGUUAAAUACCAAGGAGCGUGAUUGUGGGGUCCCAGGGAAGAGUAUGUCUGGCUUUGUCAGGAGCUGCAGCGAAGGAGAGCUUCUGUUUUUCCACACCCUCUCCGGCUGGUGGGGUGUGAGUGUUUUGGUGUUUAGCUCUUCGGUAGGUGUGCUGUGGUGUCUCGCUGUCGUAAGCUGUGUGUGUGUGUGUGUGUGUGUGUGUGUGUGCGCGCGCGCAGUUUGCGGGUUGAACACACAGGCCCUCCACCACUGAACUACACCCCAGCCCUUUUUAUUGUUUUAUUUGGAGAUAAGGUUUCACUAAAGCACUCAAUUGCCCAGGCUGGGCUCAAACUUGCAGUCCUCCUGCUUCAGCCUCCCAAAUAGCUGGGAUUACACAUGUGCACCACCAUGCCUGGAUAAUAAACUCUUGUGACCCAGAAGCACUGUGUUUGAUGCCUCAGCUUUGUUUUGGUACAGUUGCCUCAGAGGGGAAGAAGAAGAAGAAGACGGAGUGAGAGAGAGAGAGAGAGAGAGAGAGAGACAUCUCAGUGUGACCAACAGUAGUUCAGAAACGAGAGCCCUCCAUGGGCCCCUUCCCCGCAUCCCUGCAUACUCGGGCUUCUGCAGCUGAUGUUACUUACAUGGGAAGAACAGAGCUGUGGUGAUGGGGGUGAGACCUCAGUGAUCUGAUAGCACGGUUCCCCGAGUCAGGCACUCCCUGGGCCCUUCCCGGUCACAAUGCCCAGCGGCAUUGUGGUGGCUCCCUCGGGCUCCUCUCCUACCCUGUACUUUGUGCACUGCUGGC